GGUGGGGAGGGGGGGUUACAGCCCCGCCCCUGAGGCAGGUGGCUCCCGAGGCGUGGUCCGUCCUUCCGGCUGCGUCAUUCUUCCUACAGCUCUAGGUGGGGGGAGGUGCCUCAGGCCGAGCCUCCUUCCGUCAACUCGCAUGGGGGGGGGGGGGCGCGAACCUCCGGCCGCGGUCGCUCCUGCCCUGGAGCCCGCGGGAAACCCUGCCCGGUGCUCUCCCGUGCCAGGGGCCAGGCUAGUCCUGGUGCCCGCUCUCAGGCUAAUUCGGGUUUUCCUGAAGCCCCAGCGCCUGCAGCCAGGCGGCUGUGUGAUGGUUUCCGCCUUAAAGGCUAGGAGAUGCCCUGUGACCUCACUCAAGAACUCAGAUUUACACGUGUGUAUUCUGCAGCAUGAACCCAAAGCAAGUCCCGGUCAUCUUCUAUGCCACCUGUCCACUGAGGCAGCAGCAGUGCCCAGGCAGAGCCAGUGAGAAUUGAGCCCUGAAGAGACCUGUAUGCAACUGGGGAACCACUCAGAGGAGGUUGUCCAGAAGCUGUUCGGUUCUGCACAGACUUCCCCAGGACAUCACUGCAGUGUCACUUCAGGGACUGUGUGUCUGCAGCUCUCCAGUUAAGGGAUAUUUGAGCUACAUAUAACCUGCCUUGGGUUUGUGCCAGGGAGGGCAGACCAGGGCUCAACACACCGAGGAGGCAGUUGUAUCCAAGUCUGAGGCAACACCUUCAUUUAGCCCAGGAAGCAAAUCCCAUCACUGCCAGUGAGACAUAGGAGGAAUUUGGGUCAUCAGAACUCUGCCUAAACAGAAGUAUGGCCAGGACUCCAGGAAUAACAGCCACCUGUUUUUGAGAUAUGUGCUAAGGAUUUAAUGGCCAUGAGCACUAUUAAAGGACAGCACCUCCAGAAGCACAGGCUCCUAGCACCAGAGGAAGUGUGCCCCCAACAGGAGCAACUCACUCCACUACCUGCAACAGCUUGGCUAUUCCUUGAAAGCCUGUCCAAGCAUUGACAAAGAUCACCGCUCUGCAUGGUCUGUCUGUAGACAGAGCUUUAUGAACUUGUUCAGAGGAUUCCAAGUUUGCAGUCCAGGCAUAGAAUUGGAAGACACAGAAGUCUGUGCAGCUGCAACAAGAGAGUCUUCACUUCCAAGGACAGAUGCUCAAUUCUUAGUCUGAACAGAGGCAUUUAGACCAGAGAUUCUUAGGUCACUAGAACAUGAGACACAUUGGACAACACACUGUCAGCUGGAAUGUGACCUUACUUUGUGGAUUCCUGGGAGAUGGCCCCUGGGGAGAUUGUUCUGGCUGCUGACCAUUUGCUUGAGGCCAAGGUAAUCCCUCCAUCCUGAGAUGCCUCCCAGAUUCUUUUCUGCAGUACUCCUUCCUAGGUGCUCAUUUUCCCAUUGUGUUUUGGGGCAAUUGAUUGUUCCUGUCUAACUGUAGUAUUUGCAUUUGUCCUUAUGGAAUUUCAUCCUAUUUAUUUCAGGCCAUUUCUCCAGUUUGUCUAGAUCACUUUGAAUUCUAAUGCUGUCCUUCAAAGCGCUUGGAACCCCUCCCAGCGUGGUAUCAACAAAUUAAGUGUACUCUCAGUUUAGAUAAUGACAUAAAUAUAUUGAAUAGAACUAGACCUAGGACAGAUCCCUGUGGGACCCCAUGUGAAAUGGCCUCCCAGCUUGACUGAAGCACUGAUAACUACUCUGAGUAGUUAUCCAGCCAGUUGUGCACCCACCUUAUAGCAAGGUCAUCUAGGCUAGAUUGCCAUAGUUUGCUUCUGAAAAGGGCAUGUGAAACAGUAACAAAAGCCUUAUUAAAGUUGAUAUACAUCACAUUUACUGCUUCCUCCAUAUCCAGUAGGCUUGUUACCCUGUCCAAGAAGGAUACUAGGUUGGUUUGACAUGAUUUGUUCUUGACAAGUCCAUAUUGACUGUUACUUAUCACAUUAUCUUGUGGUGCUUACAAAUGGAUUGUUUGAUUAUUUUCUCUAUUAUCUGUCCAGGUAUUGAAGUUAGGCUGACAGGUCUAAUUCCCAAGGUUGUCCUUGUUCCCUUUUUAUAGAUGGGUAACUUGCCCUUUUCCAGUCCUCUAGGAUGUCCCCCUUCCUCUAGAAAUUCCCAAAGAUAAUCACUAAUGGCUCAGAGAUCUCUUCAGCCAGUUCCUUACGUAUUCUAGUAUGCCUUCCGUCAGGCCCUGCUGGCUUGAAGGCAUCUAAUUUGUCUAAGGUCAGUCCUACACUACAAGCUUACAUUGUUAUAGCAAUGUUGCUCGGGGGCGGGGGGUGGUGUCUUUCUUGCAUACCCCAGAGCAACAUAGUUUUGCUAGCGUAAGUGGUAGCGUGCACAGCGCUAAGUCAGUGGGAGAGCUCUUUGAGGGGUGGUUUAAUUAUGUCAAUAGGAGAGCUCUCUCCCAUCAGUACAGAGUGGCUACAAGGGAGACCUUGGGGUUAGGAUGUGGUAGAAAGUUACCAUCUCAUUAGCUAAAGGCUCACAACCAUAGGAUCACCCACAAACCUGUUUUGAAGCCAAUGGAGCUAUGUUCUUAAGUCUGUCCUGCCCAUGAGUCCCAGCUUACCUAUUCACAAUCAGCUUUGCUUGGGGGAAAAGGUACUAAAAGGGACUGUACCGAGUGAGUAAUAUUUACAUUUAAACUAUUAACCAGAUUAACUAUCUGCUCCACAUUAUUCAGAUAAUGGCAAAUCCUCCUUUGAAUCUUCCUCAGCUACACCUUGUGUCAGUGGCUGAUCAAUGGGGAGGCUCCCAGACAAUUCUGUUUGGCUGAGAGUGUAACGUUUCUGUACUGCCAUGAGUAAUGCCCCCCGUUUCAAUGAGCUCUCUGAAGGUGGACAUCUGUGUCAGUGCGCAGGCCCAGAGACUUCCCUGGGGCUCUGCACAUGUGCAGGGAUUUACCUGCCCAGAGCUCAUGACGGGACCAGGGCCUAAGCAAAGUGAGGGAUUUGGUAGGACAGAACAUUAGCUGGGCUGCCACUUCAGUGUGGGUUAGAAGGGGAAGGAAUUAAGAUGAGGCUUUCCAUGACCCUGGAGGGAUGGGUUAGAAGGUGCUGCCUUUAAUAAAUCAAAUAUAAAGCAGCCCUUACCUGUAGCCACUGUUUGAGAAAAUACAAAGAUUUCCUUGUAGACAUAUUAAGAGGCUGCCUUGGUGUAUUUUGACAAACACCUUGCCUGGGUCGACAGUGCUGAGUCAGGGUUUAGUCUUAGCAUUAAGCUUAUUGGUGAAUGCUCUGUUAUAGAGAAGAAAGUUUGGCAUUUGGGAGGGACAGAGGAUUUUUCCAAGCACUGCACAAAGUUGGUUCCAUUGCUCAGUAACAGAAGCCAAGGCAUAAACCCAAGAAGUCAUAAAACUGUGAGUCUUAUGUUUAUGUAUUUUUACAAAAAGUUUCACUCUUUUUUUACAUCUUUGCAUAGCAUUAGAAGAAACCUGCAUCUGAAGUUGAGAAAGGUAGGGGCAUGUGAAUUGCCAUACCACAUCGGACCAGUGGUCCGUCUGGUCCAAUGUCCUCUCUCUGACAGUUCAGCACCAGGUGUUUCAGAAGAUGGUGCAAAAAGCUCUCUAAUACAGUGGUUCUCAACCAGGAGUACAUUUACCCCUGGGGGUAGGCAGAGGUCUUCCAGGAGGUACAACGAUUCAUCUAGAUAUUUGCCUAGUUUUACAACAGGCUACAUAAAAAGCACUA